UACGUAGGGUGCAAGCGUUAAUCGGAAUUACUGGGCGUAAAGCGUGCGCAGGCGGUUGUGCAAGACAGAUGUGAAAUCCCCGGGCUUAACCUGGGAAUUGCAUUUGUGACUGCACGGCUAGAGUGUGUCAGAGGGGGGUAGAAUUCACGUGUGAGCAGUGAAAUGCGUAGAUAUGUGGAGGAAUACCGAUGGCGAAGGCAGCCCCCUGGGAUAACACUGACGCUCAUGCACGAAAGCGUGGGGAGCAAACAG
rnacentral:rRNA from 1 species